GACAGAGGGUGCAAACGUUGUUCGGAAUUACUGGGCGUAAAGGGCUCGUAGGUGGCCAACUAAGUCAGACGUGAAAUCCCUCGGCUUAACCGGGGAACUGCGUCUGAUACUGGAUGGCUUGAGGUUGGGAGAGGGAUGCGGAAUUCCAGGUGUAGCGGUGAAAUGCGUAGAUAUCUGGAGGAACACCGGUGGCGAAGGCGGCAUCCUGGACCAAUUCUGACACUGAGGAGCGAAAGCCAGGGGAGCAAACGGG
rnacentral:rRNA from 1 species